rnacentral:rRNA from 1 species
UCGAGAAUCAUUCGCAAUGGGCGCAAGCCUGACGGUGCGACGUCGCGUGGAGGAUGAAGGUCUUCGGAUUGUAAACUCCUGUCAUGUGGGAUAAAUGGCCAGGGCAUGAAUAGUGCCUUGGAAUGAUAGUACCACAGGAGGAAGGGACGGCUAACUCUGUGCCAGCAGCCGCGGUAAUUCAGAGGUCCCGAGCGUUGUUCGGAUUUACUGGGCGUAAAGGGAGCGUAGGCGGUUUGGUGUGUCGAAUGUGAAAGCCACAACUCAACUGUGGAAUGGCAUUCGAAACUACUGAGCUAGAGUACUGGAGAGGAGAGCGGAAUUCUUGGUGUAGCGGUGAAAUGCGUAGAUAUCAAGAGGAACACCGGUGGCGAAGGCGGCUCUCUGGACAGAUACUGACGCUGAGGCUCUAAAGUUAGGGGAGCAAACAG